UUCCAGACUCCUACGGGAGGCAGCAGUGGGGAAUAUUGCACAAUGGGGGAAACCCUGAUGCAGCGACGCCGCGUGAGUGAAGGAGUAUUUCGGUACGUAAAGCCCUAUCAGCAGGGAAGAAAAUGACGGUACCUGACUAAGAAGCCCCGGCUAACUACGUGCCAGCAGCCGCGGUAAUACGUAGGGGGCGAGCGUUAUCCGGAUUUACUGGGUGUAAAGGGAGCGUAGACGGCAGUGCAAGCCAGGAGUGAAAGCCCGGGGCCCAACCCCGGGACUGCUCUGGGAACUGCGCGGCUGGAGUGCGGGAGGGGCAGGCGGAAUUCCUGGUGUAGCGGUGAAAUGCGUAGAUAUCAGGAGGAACACCGGUGGCGAAGGCGGCCUGCUGGACUGCGACUGACGUUGAGGCCCGAAAGCGUGGGGAGCAAACAGGAUUAGAUACCCCGGUAGC
rnacentral:rRNA from 1 species